GACGAACGCUGGCGGCGUGCCUAAUACAUGCAAGUAGAACGCUGAAGGAGGAGCUUGCUUCUCUGGAUGAGUUGCGAACGGGUGAGUAACGCGUAGGUAACCUGCCUGGUAGCGGGGGAUAACUAUUGGAAACGAUAGCUAAUACCGCAUAAGAGUAGAUGUCGCAUGACAUUUGCUUAAAAGGUGCAAUUGCAUCACUACCAGAUGGACCUGCGUUGUAUUAGCUAGUUGGUGAGGUAACGGCUCACCAAGGCAACGAUACAUAGCCGACCUGAGAGGGUGAUCAGCCACACUGGGACUGAGACACGGCCCAGACUCCUACGGGAGGCAGCAGUAGGGAAUCUUCGGCAAUGGACGGAAGUCUGACCGAGCAACGCCGCGUGAGUGAAGAAGGUUUUCGGAUCGUAAAGCUCUGUUGUAAGAGAAGAACGAGUGUGAGAGUGGAAAGUUCACACUGUGACGGUAUCUUACCAGAAAGAGACGGCUAACUACGUG
rnacentral:rRNA from 1 species